CGCACGGGGAGGAGGGGCUGCGAAGGGGCAGCGGCGAUUCGCGGCGGCGGCGGGGCUGGAAGUUACCGAGUUGCAGUGUCGCAGAAAAGGGAAGCGAACGAAGCCAAAAUGCCCCAGGGGAGCGCGGCCCCGCUGGGGAGGCGGGAUGAGGGAGCUUGGCCCUCCCCUCAGCCCCCCUCCUCCACCCGCCGCGGCUCCCCCAGCCCCCGUAGCCAGGCCCCUGCCCCUCCUGGGCGCGGGGCUUCGGCAGCCCCGGGCUCUUUCGGCGCUCGGCGGGGCCUCGGGGCGCGGCGGGUUUGGCAUCUGCGCACACGCCGGACUGAUGCAUCUUGUGGCUUCUAGGAGCGAUGGCAAGAGGAGGAGUGUUGUCAACGCGAGUACAAGCGAGGGAUGAUGAUGCCUGCAACCUAUGGCUGAACUGGAGAUAAAACCAGAGGAGGCCAUAAGAAAUAUUGGAGAGAUCUUCCCAGAGAAGAGAUGAGCUGAACCAUGUAGGUAAAAAUUCAUGAUAUUACAUUCAAAAUAAUUUAUUGGAAGAAAUAAUACGAGUCGGUCAUGUUCCUUCUGGGCUUCUAAACCAGUGUAAGAAAAAAAGCUGUAUUUGAUAGUUGGUAGUAAAUAAUUUAAAAACACCGUUCCAUUUAUUACAGAAUCAACAUUGAGAAUAUGGUAAUUUUUGUCUAGAACUCUUAAUAUUAAACCAGUCAAACAAAAUAAUGAUACAUCUUCUGUUGGAAUACUGCAUUGAGUCACUCACUGUAUCUCCAGAGAAUUAGAGUUCAGAGAUACAUGAGGAAAAUACUAGGAACAAGCAAAACAUACUCUAGGAAUAGGAUUAAGGACCAAGGGAAAUGGAAUAAAAUGUUUGGCAGAAGUAGUAUUUAAGUAUGGCAUGCAAAAUUUCCUUGUUUCAGAGAAGGUAAAUCAGGAUCUUCUUAAACACUAGGACAUAGUUCAAGAACCGAAGUAGUUGAACAGUUUCAAAUUAAAAAUUGUUUUUCCCCUAUCACAAAAUACAGCCAUCCCAGCCUUUCUUUUUCCUCAGAAACCACUACAGCAAGGAUUUCAGCACUUUCCAGAAGAACUGACACUUCUAUAGGUAAGACUCCAGAAAGAUCGUUAGUCUGAUCCAGCACAGCCUUGUUGCUAGCUUUAAGACAAUCCUUAGUUUUUCCCAAGUGUUUCUUUCUACUGUUGUUUGAUUUCAUUUAGAGCUGUGAAGUAUUUUUAUGUCUGUGUAGUUGGAAUAUCUGCUUUCCCCAAA
rnacentral:lncRNA from 1 species